rnacentral:rRNA from 1 species
UACGUAGGGUGCGAGCGUUGUCCGGAAUUAUUGGGCGUAAAGAGCUUGUAGGCGGUUUGUCGCGUCUGCCGUGAAAUUUCGAGGCUCAACCUCGAACUUGCGGUGGGUACGGGCAGACUAGAGUGUGGUAGGGGAGACUGGAAUUCCUGGUGUAGCGGUGAAAUGCGCAGAUAUCAGGAGGAACACCGGUGGCGAAGGCGGGUCUCUGGGCCGAUAUUGACGCUGAGGAGCGAAAGCGUGGGGAGCAAACAGG